AGAGUUUGAUCAUGGCUCAGGACGAACGCUGGCGGCGUGCUUAACACAUGCAAGUCGAACGGAAGUUACGAGGAAGCUUGCGAAUAGUAACUUUAGUGGCGGACGGGUGAGUAACGCGUGGAUAACCUGCCUACAUGACCGGGACAACACCGGGAAACUGGUGCUAAUACCGGAUACGCUCUUGAUGGCACAUGCUAUUGAGAGGAAAGGAGAAAUCCGCAGGUAGAUGGGUCCGCGUCCCAUUAGCUAGUUGGCGGUGUAAAAGACCACCAAGGCGACGAUGGGUAGCCGGCCUGAGAGGGUGGACGGCCACACUGGAACUGAGACACGGUCCAGACUCCUACGGGAGGCAGCAGUGGGGAAUCUUCCGCAAUGGGCGAAAGCCUGACGGAGCAACGCCGCGUGAGUGAAGAAGGCUUUCGGGUUGUAAAACUCUGUCUUCAGGGAAGAAAAAAAUGACGGUACCUGAGGAGGAAGCCCCGGCUAACUACGUGCCAGCAGCCGCGGUAAAACGUAGGGGGCGAGCGUUGUCCGGAAUUACUGGGCGUAAAGGGCGCGUAGGCGGUUAUUUAAGUCAGAGGUGAAAACUAUGGGCUCAACCCAUAGCCUGCCUUUGAAACUGGAUGACUUGAGGGCAGGAGAGGGGAGUGGAAUUCCCAGUGUAGCGGUGGAAUGCGUAGAUAUUGGGAGGAACACCAGUGGCGAAGGCGGCUCUCUGGCCUGUUUCUGACGCUGAGGCGCGAAAGCGUGGGGAGCAAACGGGAUUAGAUACCCUGGUAGUCC
rnacentral:rRNA from 1 species